GCCUGGCUAUCUCAGUUGGUAGGGCAUGGGACUCUUGAUCUCAGGGUCAUGGGUUUGAGCCCCACGCCAGGCA